ACCUGGCUCGCCAUAAACGCGAAGGCAAAAAUUACGUCAUCAAGAAGAUCAAGACUCGUGACAUGAGUACUCAGGACAAAGAAAACACCGCCAAUGAAGUUCGUCUCCUUCAGAAAUUAAGACAUGCAAAUAUCGUUGCUUACAAGGACUCUUAUCUCGAUCGAGAGCAAUAUCUCAAUAUAGUUAUGGCGUACUG
rnacentral:ribozyme from 1 species